rnacentral:rRNA from 1 species
GACGUAGGGCGCGAGCGUUGUCCGGAUUUAUUGGGCGUAAAGAGCUCGUAGGCGUCUUGUCGCGUCGUUCGUGAAAACCUGCAGCUCAACUGCAGGCUUGCGGUCGAUACGGGCAGGCUAGAGUUCGGUAGGGGAGACUGGAAUUCCUGGUGUAGCGGUGAAAUGCGCAGAUAUCAGGAGGAACACCGGUGGCGAAGGCGGGUCUCUGGGCCGAUACUGACGCUGAGGAGCGAAGGCGUGGGGAGCGAACAGG